AUUGAACGCUGGCGGCAGGCCUAACACAUGCAAGUCGAACGAGUGGCGGACGCGUGAGUAAUGUCUGGGAAACUGCCCGAUGGAGGGGGAUAACUACUGGAAACGGUAGCUAAUACCGCAUACCAUCAGAUGUGCCCAGAUGGGAUUGGCUAGUAGGUGGGGGAAUGGCGCACCUAGGCGACGAUCCCUAGCUGGUCUGAGAGGAUGACCAGCCACACUGGACCUGAGACACGGCCCAGACUCCUACGGGAGGCAGCAGUGGGGAAUAUUGCACAAUGGGGGCAAGCCUGAUGCAGCCAUGCCGCGUGUGUGAAGAAGGCCUUCGGGUUGUAAAGCACUUUCAGCGAGGAGGCGUUACUCGCAGAAGAAGCACCGGCUAACUCCGUGCCAGCAGCCGCGGUAAUAC
rnacentral:rRNA from 1 species